ACACAACUAAUUUCCCUGCCUAAACAUGCAAGUCGAACGGUGAAGCCCAGCUUGCUGGGUGGAUCAGUGGCGAACGGGUGAGUAACACGUGAGCAACCUGCCCUCCACUUCGGGAUAAGCCUUGGAAACGAGGUCUAAUACCGGAUACGAGCACUUACCGCAUGGUGGGUGUUGGAAAGUUUUUCGGUGGGGGAUGGGCUCGCGGCCUAUCAGCUUGUUGGUGGGGUAAUGGCCUACCAAGGCGUCGACGGGUAGCCGGCCUGAGAGGGCGACCGGCCACACUGGGACUGAGACACGGCCCAGACUCCUACGGGAGGCAGCAGUGGGGAAUAUUGCACAAUGGGCGAAAGCCUGAUGCAGCGACGCCACGUGAGGGAUGACGGCCUUCGGGUUGUAAACCUCUUUCAGCAGGGAAGAAGCGAAAGUGACGGUACCUGCAGAAGAAGCGCCGGCUAACUACGUGCCAGCAGCCGCGGUAAUACGUAGGGCGCAAGCGUUGUCCGGAAUUAUUGGGCGUAAAGAGCUCGUAGGCGGUCUGUCGCGUCUGGUGUGAAAUCCCAUGGCUCAACCAUGGGUUUGCAUCGGGUACGGGCAAACUACAGUG
rnacentral:rRNA from 1 species